rnacentral:rRNA from 1 species
UACGUAGGGGGCAAGCGUUGUCCGGAUUUAUUGGGCGUAAAGAGCGUGUAGGCGGCCAGAUAGGUCCGUUGUGAAACCUGGAGGCUUAACCUCCAGCGGUCGAUGGAAACCAUUUGGCUCGAAGUUCCGGGAAGAGGAGUGUGGAAAUUCCGUGGUGUAGCGGUGAAAUGCGCAGAUAAUCAGGAGGAACACCGUGGCGAAGGCAGG